AGCACAGCAGCUGGGAUGAUAUCUGUGACACGGAGGAAGCACAAUGGACCAACCAAAAAGUGAGCUUCAGUCUGACGAUAUAGGGGCACUAAUUUAUUGGUGGAGAAACACAAUUGACGAGGAUUCCAGAUGAAAAGAAAAUGAAAAUGGCAGAAGGAGAUGCUAAGAGAACAAAAAAAAAACAUGUUCUGACAAUUUUAGAGUAUGUUGGUAUUGAUGAAGAUGUUGUUACCAGUUCCUUCUAUAGCAGAUGCAA